rnacentral:rRNA from 1 species
UAGGGAAUCUUCGGCAAUGGGGGCAACCCUGACCGAGCAACGCCGCGUGAGUGAAGAAGGUUUUCGGAUCGUAAAGCUCUGUUGUAAGAGAAGAACGUGUGUGAGAGUGGAAAGUUCACACAGUGACGGUAACUUAACAGAAAGGGACGGCUAACUACGUGCCAGCAGCCGCGGUAAUACGUAGGUCCCGAGCGUUGUCCGGAUUUAUUGGGCGUAAAGCGAGCGCAGGCGGUUUAAUAAGUCUGAAGUUAAAGGCAGUGGCUUAACCAUUGUUCGCUUUGGAAACUGUUAAACUUGAGUGCAGAAGGGGAGAGUGGAAUUCCAUGUGUAGCGGUGAAAUGCGUAGAUAUAUGGAAGAACACCGGUGGCGAAAGCGGCUCUCUGGUCUGUAACUGACGCUGAGGCUCGAAAGCGUGGGGAGCAAACAGG